rnacentral:rRNA from 1 species
GCAUGCAUGUCUAAGUAUAAGCAAUUAUACAGCGAAACUGCGAAUGGCUCAUUAUAUAAGUUAUCGUUUAUUUGAUAGUACCUUACUACUUGGAUAACCGUGGUAAUUCUAGAGCUAAUACAUGCUAAAAAUCCCGACUUCGGAAGGGAUGUAUUUAUUAGAUUAAAAACCAAUGCCCUUCGGGGCUCACUGGUGAUUCAUAAUAACUUCUCGAAUCGCAUGGCCUUGCGCCGGCGAUGGUUCAUUCAAAUUUCUUCCCUAUCAACUUUCGAUGCUAGAGUAGUGUUCUAGCAUGGUUACAACGGGUAACGGAGGGUUAGGGCUCGACCCCGGAGAAGGAGCCUGAGAAACGGCUACUACAUCCAAGGAAGGCAGCAGGCGCGCAAAUUACCCAAUCCCGACACGGGGAGGUAGUGACGAUAAAUACUGAUACAGGGCUCUUUUGGGUCUUGUAAUUGGAAUGAGUACAAUUUAAAUCCCUUAACGANNNNNNNNNNNNNNNNNNNNNNNNNNNNNNNNNNNNNNNNNNUUCCAGCUCCAAUAGCGUAUAUUAAAGUUGUUGUGGUUAAAAAGCUCGUAGUAGAACCUUGGGCCUGGCUGGCCGGUCCGCCUCACCGCGUGCACUGGUCCGGCCGGGCCUUUCCCUCUGUGGAACCGCAUGCCCUUCACUGGGUGUGCCGGGGAAACAGGACUUUUACUUUGAAAAAAUUAGAGUGCUCCAGGCAGGCCUAUGCUCGAAUACAUUAGCAUGGAAUAAUAGAAUAGGACGUGUGGUUCUAUUUUGUUGGUUUCUAGGACCGCCGUAAUGAUUAAUAGGGACAGUCGGGGGCAUCAGUAUUCAAUUGUCAGAGGUGAAAUUCUUGGAUUUAUUGAAGACUAACUACUGCGAAAGCAUUUGCCAAGGAUGUUUUCAUUUAUCAGGAACGAAAGUUAGGGGAUCGAAGACGAUCAGAUACCGUCGUAGUCUUAACCAUAAACUAUGCCGACUAGGGAUCGGACGAUGUUAUUUUUUGACUCGUU